rnacentral:rRNA from 1 species
GUCCACGCCGUAAACGAUGGGAACUAGGUGUGGGCGGUGUCGACUCCGUCCGUGCCGAAGCUAACGCAUUAAGUUCCCCGCCUGGGGAGUACGGCCGCAAGGCUAAAACUCAAAGGAAUUGACGGGGGCCCGCACAAGCAGCGGAGCAUGUGGUUUAAUUCGACGCGACGCGAAGAACCUUACCAAGGCUUGACAUGCACUGGAAAGCCGUAGAAAUACGGCCUCCCUUCGGGGCCGGUGCACAGGUGGUGCAUGGCUGUCGU